rnacentral:rRNA from 1 species
CAGUCGCCACGGUAAUACGUAGGUGGCAAGCGUUGUCCGGAAUUACUGGGCGUAAAGCGCGCGCAGGCGGAUAGGUCAGUCUGUCUUAAAAGUUCGGGGCUUAACCCCGUGAUGGGAUGGAAACUGCCAAUCUAGAGUAUCGGAGAGGAAAGUGGAAUUCCUAGUGUAGCGGUGAAAUGCGUAGAUAUUAAGAAGAACACCAGUGGCGAAGGCGACUUUCUGGACGAAAACUGACGCUGAGGCGCGAAAGCCAGGGGAGCGAACGGGAUUAGAUACCCCUGUAGUCCCUGUCUCUUAUACC